GAUGAAGAACGUAGCGAAAUGCGAUAAGUAAUGUGAAUUGCAGAAUUCAGUGAAUCAUCGAAUCUUUGAACGCACCUUGCGCUCUUUGGUAUUCCGAAGAGCAUGCCUGUUUGAGUGUCAUGAAAAUAUCAACCUUGACUUGGGUUUUGUGCUCUAGUCUCGGCUUGGAAUUGGGUGCUUGCCGCUUUUACGAGCGGCUCACCUUAAAUGUAUUAGCUGGAUCUGUCUUUGAGACUUGGUUUGACUUGGCGUAAUAAGUAUUUCGCUAAGGACAUUCUUCGGAGUGGCCUCGUUUCUAGGACGCUUGUCCGCUUUCCAAUACAAGUUCCACCUCGUGGACAUGACUUUUUAUUAUCUGGCCUCAAAUCAGGUAGGACUACCCGCUGAACUUAAGCAUAUCAAUAAGUGGAGGA
rnacentral:misc_RNA from 1 species